ACUGCAAGUCGAGCGAACGGACGAGAAGCUUGCUUCUCUGAUGUUAGCGGCGGACGGGUGAGUAACACGUGGAUAACCUACCUAUAAGACUGGGAUAACUUCGGGAAACCGGAGCUAAUACCGGAUAAUAUUUUGAACCGCAUGGUUCAAAAGUGAAAGACGGUCUUGCUGUCACUUAUAGAUGGAUCCGCGCUGCAUUAGCUAGUUGGUAAGGUAACGGCUUACCAAGGCAACGAUGCAUAGCCGACCUGAGAGGGUGAUCGGCCACACUGGAACUGAGACACGGUCCAGACUCCUACGGGAGGCAGCAGUAGGGAAUCUUCCGCAAUGGGCGAAAGCCUGACGGAGCAACGCCGCGUGAGUGAUGAAGGUCUUCGGAUCGUAAAACUCUGUUAUUAGGGAAGAACAUAUGUGUAAGUAACUGUGCACAUCUUGACGGUACCUAAUCAGAAAGCCACGGCUAACUACGUGCCAGCAGCCGCGGUAAUACGUAGGUGGCAAGCGUUAUCCGGAAUUAUUGGGCGUAAAGCGCGCGUAGGCGGUUUUUUAAGUCUGAUGUGAAAGCCCACGGCUCAACCGUGGAGGGUCAUUGGAAACUGGAAAACUUGAGUGCAGAAGAGGAAAGUGGAAUUCCAUGUGUAGCGGUGAAAUGCGCAGAGAUAUGGAGGAACACCAGUGGGCGAAGGCGACUUUCUGGUCUGUAACUGACGCUGAUGUGCGAAAGCGUGGGGAUCAAACAGGAUUAGAUACCCNGGUAGNNACGCCGUAAACGAUGAGUGCUAAGUGUUAGGGGGUUUCCGCCCCUUAGUGCUGCAGCUAACGCAUUAAGCACUCCGCCUGGGGAGUACGACCGCAAGGUUGAAACUCAAAGGAAUUGACGGGGACCCGCACAAGCGGUGGAGCAUGUGGUUUAAUUCGAAGCAACGCGAAGAACCUUACCAAAUCUUGACAUCCUUUGACAACUCUAGAGAUAGAGCUUUCCCCUUCGGGGGACAAAGUGACAGGUGGUGCAUGGUUGUCGUCAGCUCGUGUCGUGAGAUGUUGGGUUAAGUCCCGCAACGAGCGCAACCCUUAAGCUUAGUUGCCAUCAUUAAGUUGGGCACUCUAAGUUGACUGCCGGUGACAAACCGGAGGAAGGUGGGGAUGACGUCAAAUCAUCAUGCCCCUUAUGAUUUGGGCUACACACGUGCUACAAUGGACAAUACAAAGGGCAGCGAAACCGCGAGGUCAAGCAAAUCCCAUAAAGUUGUUCUCAGUUCGGAUUGUAGUCUGCAACUCGACUACAUGAAGCUGGAAUCGCUAGUAAUCGUAGAUCAGCAUGCUACGGUGAAUACGUUCCCGGGUCUUGUACACACCGCCCGUCACACCACGAGAGUUUGUAACACCCGAAGCCGGUGGAGUAACCUUUUAGGAGCUAGCCGU
rnacentral:rRNA from 1 species